rnacentral:tRNA from 1 species
GUCUUCGUGGUGUAAUGGUCAGCACGCUCCGCGUGUAUUCGAGAAGUCCAUGGUUCGAGUCCCGGCGAGGGCA